rnacentral:rRNA from 1 species
UACAGAGGUCUCAAGCGUUGUUCGGAUUCAUUGGGCGUAAAGGGUGCGUAGGCGGCGCCGUAAGUCUGGUGUGAAAUCCCGGAGCUCAACUCCGGAAUGGCACUGGAUACUGCGGUGCUCGAGGACUGGAGAGGAGACUGGAAUUCACGGUGUAGCAGUGAAAUGCGUAGAUAUCGUGAGGAAGACCAGUGGCGAAGGCGGGUCUCUGGACAGUUCCUGACGCUGAGGCACGAAGGCCAGGGGAGCAAACGGG